UGGGGAAUAUUGCACAAUGGGCGCAAGCCUGAUGCAGCCAUGCCGCGUGUGUGAAGAAGGCCUUCGGGUUGUAAAGCACUUUCAGCGAGGAGGAAGGCAGUCGUGUUAAUAGCACGGUUGAUUGACGUUACUCGCAGAAGAAGCACCGGCUAACUCCGUGCCAGCAGCCGCGGUAAUACGGAGGGUGCAAGCGUUAAUCGGAAUUACUGGGCGUAAAGCGCACGCAGGCGGUUUGUUAAGUCAGAUGUGAAAUCCCCGCGCUUAACGUUGGAACUGCAUUUGAAACUGGCAAGCUAGAGUCUUGUAGAGGGGGGUAGAAUUCCAGGUGUAGCGGUGAAAUGCGUAGAGAUCUGGAGGAAUACCGGUGGCGAAGGCGGCCCCCUGGACAAAGACUGACGCUCAGGUGCGAAAGCGUGGGGAGCAAACA
rnacentral:rRNA from 1 species